UGCAUCCGCGGCGUUACAAGAAUAAAUUCAAUUGAUGCUGAAGAAUUGACCCGAUCUGAAACUGGGAAAAUUUGAGAAUUCCGGAGAAAUUUUUCGAUUCGGCUCGAGUACAUUUUACCGAUGUUAAAUACCGGAUAGGCAAUGACGCAUUCGGCCAUUUCUUAUUUUAAAAUAUUUGCCCAAUAGCCAGCCCCACCCAUCUCUGUGUGUUAUUUCUUGUUUUCAUUUCUCGCUCCAAUCCCGUUUGUUGUUGUUGUUUGUGUCGACGUGCCAGUCACUUGUGAACCCGGAGCUUUUACGUUUCAACCUCCGGGGCACAAUCAAAGUUUCAAAACAAUUCUUGUUGAUCUGCUUCAGAUCUACCCAGCUAGAGAGGCCUACCAUCGUCACACAUUAAUGCCACGAAAAGCUUGCAUGACACUUGACACAAUACUCACAAUAAAUACAAUACACUACGCUUAACUUAUUUAAAAUAUGAUACGGCGAUGAUACUUGUGAAUAACUUCGUUCACACGAAUUUCCGUAACAAGUAACGUGAAAUUAGUUUGAGUAAACUAACAAAUGAAAAGGGAAAAGAGACGAUUCUUUCCGCCUGAAUUCAAUUACCGGUUAGACUGGGUGAGACAGCACAGUCGAGAAAUCAAUCCAAUUUAUCUUGUCUGUUGUCGAACCUUGUGGCGUCGUACGUCUGUCCCUAUUCUUUCGGCGUCUUAUUGUUAUUCCUAUUCUGUUUGCGUGGUACUCGUGUCCUUGUCUUUGAAUCGAUGAAUCGCACCCUCAUGUUUUUUGUACAGUAAGCACAACAAAACAAUUCUCAGAUCAAAGUUGCCAUCUUUACCGCCAGAUGGCAGCGCCUGGCAGAAACGGGAAAGAAAACAAACAGACUGAAUAACACCGGAGAUUCGAGUUAAAUAGGACGCCAUAAAAAGAAAGUCGAGGUUUUCUUUACCAAGAUCAUACAGUCUGUUCUCAGGAUUUCACAAAGGUAUAUACCUCAAUGACUGUGGGAUGACCCGCUGACCAAUUGCAUUCAAGUACGAGACUGAAAGAAAGACACAAAGAUGG